UCCUUCCUUUUCCUUUGUCUUCAGCCUCGGUCAGGUUCAGGGUGCGACUUUGUUGGGGUCCUUGGCGUGGUGGACACGUGCGGUGCCGUUGUUGCGGGUGAUAUCACGUGGCAGAAUUUGUGGGCUGGCUGCUAGGACCCCAACAUCUACGAUAAAGAACUACUCCACCUUUUCGAUCCUUCUUGUGGCUCGUGCUGUGCUUGAGCACGGAUCAGCAAUCGGGAUUCUUCCCUCUGGUCGAGCAAAAAAUUUUUUUAACCCUGGCUGAUAUCGUGAUGAAGAUGGUGUCGUGGAGUUUGGACAACUGAACUCAAGAGACUGGCGGGUGAUUAUCCAGGGAGUUUCUGCGGAGCCACGUGUCACGGAGACCAGCUAUGAUAAGUGUCCACAGUUAACUUCCACCCACGUGUCAGAAAUAAUUCGAACCCGCAAUGUAGUUUAAAUUGAUAUUAUUAGAUAAAUCAUAAAUUUAUUUCGGUUCAUAGUGUAGAUUUAAAAUAAUUUCGGGUUGUGUUAAACUCGUUCGUUUAAUCCAUAAAAGGAAGAUAAAGUUGUUUGUUCAUUCAAAUUGUAUUAAGCUUAAAAUUGUGUUUCCUUAUAUUAAAUUACUUUCUACAUUAGUCUAAUUUAAUUUUGUUCAAAUUGAUCCAAUUUGAUCGCUAGCUUUUUUUUUAAAUAUAUAUUUAACUCUUUGUGAUUUAGUUCGUCGCGUUAAGAAAUAAUUAAUAUUCUCUUAUUCUAUGCCCUUUUAAUUUAAUUACAUUUACAUUUAUUUA